rnacentral:lncRNA from 1 species
CAUCACAUUCGCACAAUUUCAUUUAGUAGGGACAAACACCUUAGGUUCACAACUGAAUCAAAGCAGAUCUUCAUAUGAAAUAUGCAAAUAACUAAGAAGAGAUCGUACAAACUAGAACUAAAUUUCCCUAUGAAGCUCAAAUCUGUAUAUAUACAUAAAUAAUAUUUGUCCAUGUAAAGACUAAUUCUUCUAUAGUUGCUCUUGGCUCCUGCAAUGCACUCCUUUUUCUAAAUCUUGAGCUACCC